CUGCGGCCCUCAGUGGAUUCCUGCUCUCUCUCUCUUUCAAGAGCAGGGCCUCGAGUUUGUGGUGUGAAAGGACACAUCUGACAAAUCUGGUGAUAGAUGGGCAGAAAGUAUUGCAGCUUGUAAAGGAUCCUUCUUCCACCACUGGGUUUAUGUACAUAUCUACACAUCUUAUUACAUUUAUAUGAUGAAAUUAUCUGUAUAUUUUGAAAGGUAACUCAAGUUAAAAUCUAUAUUUAAGUGCAAUUUUGAAGCACUUGUACUGUACUUGAGUAUUUGCAUUUAAGGCUACUCUUCUGCUGUUGGACAUUUCAGUGUGAAAUAUUGUACUCUGGUACAUUUACUUGACAGCAAUAGUUACUAGAUACUUUGUAGAUUAAGAUUGUACAUAUUAAAUCCUUUGAUGAGCUCAUAGAAUAUGUAAUAUUUUAAAUUAAAAUACCUAACUGUCUUAUGAGCUUCACCUCAACCACCUACAACAGUAGGAAUAUUAU
rnacentral:lncRNA from 1 species